GGUACACGCGAGACGUACGUACGUACACCAUCUUCAAUACCGUGAGCGUGAGUAAGAGUGGAAAGUAAAGUGAGAUUUCGCCCCAAGGAUUCCUCCUUCAGUUUUCGGAGAAUCCUCCGGCUUAAUUUCCCAUCCUUCAAAAUUUCACCAAAACUUGACACAUGUCUCCGCAAAUGACCACCGUGCGAGGUCGAGUUUCCGGGUCACACCGGCUCACUCUGUAUAGCGAGACGUUACGCGGGGUCGGAAUCUUGGAUGUAUACCUCUACAUUAAUAACGCCACUGACCCGCCGAAUUGCCGUCAUCAUUGUAUCGCACGGAGCUUACUCACUAACUCUACCCAAGAACGAGCGGUUUGAAUUGCUUCAUCAUAAGGGAUUAUCUUGUAAAUGCGCGUAGUCGUGCCGUAAGAUCUCCAUACAAAUGCUUCGAAUUUUCCCCCUGAUAUCAUUACCCUCCCAUUUCUUAUCCUUAUUUUCCUCCACCCCCAACACCGAAGAUGUAUCCUUGCAACCUCCUGAUACACGAGGCAAAAAAAAAAAAAAAAAAAGAAGAAAAUUCCGGUACCUUCUUUAUUCUUUUCUUUUUUGUUACUUUAUGAUUGGUUCUUCUACCUCAAUCAAAUUUUUUCGCCUAAGUCGUAAAAAAAAGGAACCCAGCUGGGACGCAAGCCUUGCUAUUUCUGCGGAGGAAAAUUUUCUCCCCACCGUCAAGCUCGUGAUCGAAAACUAUCAAAUUUUCUCAUACCGCGAAUUCGUGCGAGAAACGAAAAAAUCGCGAAAUUUCGAAUAAUUUUUUCCCCUACGAGGAUAGCGAACGAAUGUUAUUUCAAUACACUACGCAGUCGAGUUUCGAUGAUACGUCAUCAAAAUUAUACAGUCGUGCGAUAUAAAUACGGUAAACAAGAUAUUGAAUCGUAGAUAAGAAAAUUCCGAUCACAGUUCAUAACUGCUGGUCGACCAAACUAAAGUCUAAUUAUUGAUAAUAUUCCCGUAUCAGUUCGCAGAGAUCGUGCGUAUACAUAUAAUUGAAAAAAAAAAA
rnacentral:lncRNA from 1 species